GGGGCUGGACAAGGUCCCAAGGGUUGGGCUGUUCGCCCAUUAAAGCGGUACGUGAGCUGGGUUCAGACCGUCGUGAGACAGGUCGGUCUCUAUCCGCUGCGGGCGCAGGGGACUUGAGGGGAGCUGCCCUCAGUACGAGAGGACCAGGGUGGACAGACCUCUGGUGUGCCAGCUGUCCCGCCAGGGGCACCGCUGGGUAGCCAAGUCUGGCAGCGAUAACCGCUGAAAGCAUCUAAGCGGGAAGCGCGCCCCAAGAUGAGGUCCCCCACCGGGUUAACCGGGUAAGACCGCCGGGAGACUACCGGUUUGAUAGGCCGCGGGUGUAAGCGCAGCAAUGCGUUGAGCCGAGCGGUACUAACGGUCGAGGGCUUGUCCGUGA
rnacentral:rRNA from 1 species